rnacentral:rRNA from 1 species
UACGGAGGGUGCAAGCGUUAUCCGGAUUUACUGGGUUUAAAGGGUGCGCAGGCGGAUAUGUAAGUCAGUGGUGAAAUCUCCAGGCUUAACCUGGAAAUUGCCGUUGAUACUAUAUAUCUUGAAUGCUGUGGAGGUAAGCGGAAUAUGUCAUGUAGCGGUGAAAUGCUUAGAGAUGACAUAGAACACCUAUUGCGAAGGCAGCUUACUACGCAGAUAUUGACGCUCAUGCACGAAAGCGUGGGG